CCCUUAGAGUUUGAUCCUGGCUCAGAACGAACGCUGGCGGCAUGCCUAACACAUGCAAGUCGAACGAGAAGAUACCUUCGGGUAUUGGAAAGUGGCGCACGGGUGAGUAACGCGUGGGAACCUGCCCUGAGGUACGGGAUAACGGCUGGAAACGGCCGCUAAUACCGUAUGUCCCCUGCGGGGGAAAGAUUUAUCGCCUUGGGAGGGGCCCGCGUCCGAUUAGCUAGUUGGUGAGGUAAUGGCUCACCAAGGCGACGAUCGGUAGCUGGUCUGAGAGGAUGAUCAGCCACACUGGGACUGAGACACGGCCCAGACUCCUACGGGAGGCAGCAGUGGGGAAUAUUGGACAAUGGGGGCAACCCUGAUCCAGCAAUGCCGCGUGUGUGAUGAAGGCCUUAGGGUUGUAAAGCACUUUCACUGGUGAAGAUGAUGACGGUAGCCAGAGAAGAAGCCCCGGCUAACUCCGUGCCAGCAGCCGCGGUAAUACGGAGGGGGCAAGCGUUGUUCGGAAUUACUGGGCGUAAAGGGCGUGUAGGCGGCGGUUUUAGUCAGGCGUGAAAGGG
rnacentral:rRNA from 1 species